GGUCUGUCCCAUUAGUUCUUCAGUGUUAAAAAUUCGAAAAAAAUUCGAUAGAAAUUCCUACGAGUUUGUCAAAAAAAGAUUACACCCAGGAUGAAUAUCUACAUAUCUGUACCUCUCACAUGGAAAUUAAAGCACGUUAUCCGUCCAGUACUUUUCACAAAACAUUGGACUUCUUCGCACACUUUGUCUGCCUACAGGUCAAGCGUUGAUUUGAUUAAAGUCGUUUAAAUUCGCAUUGCUCGAGGAUCUCCUUAGAUUAACGAAUUGCUGAGAUGGUUAGACACAUGGAUCAACGGAAAUAAGACAAGUUCCCGUAAUCGAUUAUUCAAGAAACAUCUAUUCUGGAGGACACCCUGGAAGUUAAGACAUAAAUUAUCUACCCAUCUAAAACAGUAUUAAAAUUGAAAUUUAAUUUCCGACUAUGUUCUAUCAUGUUUAAAAUUAAUGUAACUCGGCUUUCUUGUCAUAGCUGAAUAUUAUUUAAAUAGUGCAAUAAUUCAGUUAAAGUAGCGACACGAUAUUAAGUAGGAGAAUUCAUAUUUAUAACAUGCAAGAUAGUAUAUUGAAUUUAGUAAAUUUAGGUAUGUCUGCAAUAUGCAUGCAUUUACUCUACAGUUAUUGUAUUACUGUUUGAGUACUUGCAGGGAAGACAAAAAAACAUAUUUUAACGUAAUUUUAACGUUUUGUAGUUAGGAUUAUUUUUCGGCGACAUCUUCGCCACACACUUUGUACAUAUGUAACCAACUUUGAAAUGCUCUCAAAAAAUCGAACAAGCAUGCAAAAAUCAAUCCUUUCAUUUUUUUUUAAUGGAAAGUUGUAUUUCUGCAUUUAAGCAAAAGAUUUGAUCUUCACAGCUUCUCUUGGCUCUAAAUCCACCCCAUGCCUCUGCGAGAACUUGCUUAAGCUCAGCCAAAUUUGGUACUCUCUCUGUUAGAAUGCUUGUAAAUAAUUUUAAACGUGAAUUUAAUAAUGCCCCAUAAUUUAUUGGUAGGCUUGGAUCCUCUUUCUUAUGUAUAUAGAGUUACUGUUAUGGAUUUUGUCCAAUUCCAUAUCAGACAUUUUUUCCUCCAGACAAAUUUGAUUAAAUACACCCGGUAAUGCGGCAUCCAGUUGGCAGGGCUUUAAGGAACUUAUUGUUGAUUGCAUCAGUUAUUAUUUUUGAUUCUGCGAAGUGCUAUUUCACCUUCGGUUUGUGUAACAGGCUUAUCAUGUAGACGAACUCCAGAAUUACCUGUACAGACUGAUUUCACCACCCUUGUAUCUCGAUAGAAACACCCCAUUCUGCUUCGGGUACCGUUUGGUUUAACCUUCUAGCUCGAAAACUUAAGUACUUUUAUAUGAA